rnacentral:lncRNA from 1 species
GAAUUCUCCCAAAUACACUAGGGUGGGUCUUGCAGACAUCCAAAAACAAGACCUUUUUACGUUUCAACCCCACCAAGUCAGGGCCAAUAAUGAAAUCAGCUGACAAAUAAAACAAAAAGGAAAUAGGAAAGUUUAAAUCACAUGAAUGCUGUGGCAUCCACCGACCAAAGUAGGGCAAAACUGAAACAACUAAAUCCACUCAGCAAUAGAUAAUGCAAUCAAAUAAACGGACGUGUAUGUAAUUAUUAUGAGCAAAAAAGGGCUAACCUGUGAAUCAAAUCGGGACGAGUCUUGUCUUUUGUUCUGUCGUAUCGUCUCGUAAUUGGUGACUGAACGAGAUGGAUGCACUGAAAACGAAAUCAGAGAGGAAAAUGUCAGAUCUGAGGAACACACACACACACACACAUACACAACGAAAGACGAAUCAGCUUUAUACAGAGGAAGAAAAAAGACAAACAAACCUGAGAUUUCUUCUUCAAUAUGCAAAAGGCGCUUGAAAGUGAUGGAGGCGAGGGAGGAGAGAGAAUAUUGGCUUUUAUAGUAGUAUUAUCAUGCUGCUGCUUACGUGACUCGUCGGUCUCUGCUGCCUUCACCGGUUAAGUCUCUAUCUGCAUUUGAUAUUGCGUAAGCUUCACUAAUUAGCCCUAAUUCCAAACAUCUAAUUAAGGUGAGAGAUUCUGG